rnacentral:rRNA from 2 species
UAAACAUUGACAGUUAAUUACACCCACUGUCCGCCUGGGAACUACGAGCGCUAGCUUAAAACCCAAAGGACUUGGCGGUGCUUUAGACCCACCUAGAGGAGCCUGUUCUAGAACCGAUAAUCCCCGUUAAACCUCACCCUUCCUUGUUCUUUCCCGCCUAUAUACCACCGUCGUCAGCUUACCCUGUGAAGGCCCAAUAGUAAGCACAAUCGGCAAUGCCCAAAACGUCAGGUCGAGGUGUAGCGAAUGGAAGGGGAAGAAAUGGGCUACAUUUACUGAUACAGUAAAUACGGAUGAUUACCCUGCAACGAGUAUCUGAAGGAGGAUUUAGCAGUAAGCAAAAAGCAGAGUGUUUUGCUG